rnacentral:rRNA from 1 species
UACAGAGGAUGCAAGCGUUAUCCGGAAUGAUUGGGCGUAAAGCGUCUGUAGGUGGCUUUUUAAGUCCGCCGUCAAAUCCCAGGGCUCAACCUCGAGACGCCGGUGGAAACCAUCAGACUAGAGUCCGGAAGAGGAGAGUGGAAUUCCUGGUGUAGCGGUGAAAUGCGCAGAUAUCAGGAAGAACACCCGUGGCUAAGGCGGCUCUCUAGUACGGUACUGACGCUGAGACGCGAAAGCGUGGGGAGCGAACAGG